CACAGCCUUCUCUCCUUCCUUCCUCCUUUUCCCCUUCCUUUUUUUUUCUUUUCUUUCUUUUAGCCUCUCUCGACCCAUUCUCUCUUCCUCAUUCUGUAUCUCUCCCUCUCCUGGUGCCGUACUUGAUCCCAAACCAUCCCUUCCACUCCACUGUCUCACUACGGAAGCUCAGGCGCUUCAACUACCUCAUCCUCGUCUUCCGAAUUGCCUCUUUCAGCUUCUCUCUCUCGCUUCCUUCAUUUUCUCUCUGUCUUCCUUCAUCUUCAUGCUCUCCACUUCUCGCUACCCCAACUCCUCACCAUCAGUUUUCUGUCUUUUUUUAAAUUUCUGUUUGGCUGUCGAGAAAUUCACUGCAAUUCCAAAAGAGAAAAAAACAAAACAAAACAG
rnacentral:lncRNA from 1 species